GUAUUGAGUCUUGGUGGGAAAUCAGUGUGUAAUUCAUUGGCUCUUCCUGGAACCGUAUAGUCGGAGUGCCACCCAAUAUAGUCCGCUGUUGAAUGAUGGCCAGGAAAAGUCUAGUUCUGCAAUGAAAAA
rnacentral:ncRNA from 1 species